AGUAGAUUGAAGCUUCCAAACUCAAAUCCAACACCGGAAACGUGAUCCUUGCUACAAGAUCUAUGUUUUCACCAUUCAUUUUGAGGUAUUGAAUACUUUGAAGUGUUCUAGACAAUUUCCAAGCGUUGUGUUUCACUUUUGGUGAGAAAUCAAGAGCAUUUUUAGAAGACUCUGCACUGCGAAAAAGAUAGAAGAUUCAAGUUUCCCUG